rnacentral:rRNA from 1 species
ACGAACGCUGGCGGCGUGCUUAACACAUGCCAGUCGAACGGAAAGGCCCUGCUUUUGUGGGGUGCUCGAGUGGCGAACGGGUGAGUAACACGUGAGUAACCUGCCCUUGACUUUGGGAUAACUUCAGGAAACUGGGGCUAAUACCGGAUAGGAGCUCCUGCUGCCUGGUGGGGGUUGGAAAGUUUCGGCGGUUGGGGAUGGACUCGCGGCUUAUCAGCUUGUUGGUGGGGUAGUGGCUUACCAAGGCUUUGACGGGUAGCCGGCCUGAGAGGGUGACCGGCCACAUUGGGACUGAGAUACGGCCCAGACUCCUACGGGAGGCAGCAGUGGGGAAUAUUGCACAAUGGGCGGAAGCCUGAUGCAGCAACGCCGCGUGCGGGAUGACGGCCUUCGGGCUGUAAACCGCUUUCGCCUGUGACGAAGCGUGAGUGACGGUAAUGGGUAAAGAAGCACCGGCUAACUACGUG